GAUGAACGCUGGCGGCGUGCCUAAUACAUGCAAGUCGAGCGAAUGGAUUAAGAGCUUGCUCUUAUGAAGUUAGCGGCGGACGGGUGAGUAACACGUGGGUAACCUGCCCAUAAGACUGGGAUAACUCCGGGAAACCGGGGCUAAUACCGGAUAACAUUUUGAACCGCAUGGUUCGAAAUUGAAAGGCGGCUCCGGCUGUCACUUAUGGAUGGACCCGCGUCGCAUUAGCUAGUUGGUGAGGUAACGGCUCACCAAGGUAACGAUGCGUAGCCGACCUGAGAGGGUGAUCGGCCACACUGGGACUGAGACACGGCCCCGACUCCUACGGGAGGCAGCAGUAGGGAAUCUUCCGCAAUGGACGAAAGUCUGACGGAGCAACGCCGCGUGAGUGAUGAAGGCUUUCGGGUCGUAAAACUCUGUUGUUAGGGAAGAACAAGUGCUAGUUGAAUAAGCUGGCACCUUGACGGUACCUAACCAGAAAGCCACGGCUAACUACGUGCCAGCCGCCGCGGUAA
rnacentral:rRNA from 1 species